UGUGUAUCAGUACAUGGCAUAUCAAUAAGCGGAGGAAAAGAAACUAACAAGGAUUCCCUUAGUAACGGCGAGUGAAGCGGGAAGAGCUCAAAUUUGAAAUCUUCAAGGUUCUACCUUGACGAAUUGUAGUUUAUAGAAGUGUUUUCUGUUAGUGGAGUGGCAAAAGUUCUUUGGAAUAGGACAUCAUAGAGGGUGAGAAUCCCGUAUUUGGUCAUUCCUCCUAGCGUUGUGAUACACUUUCAACGAGUCGGAUUGUUUGGGAAUGCAGUCCAAAAUGGGUGGUAAAUUUCAUCUAAAGCUAAAUAUUGGCGAGAGACCGAUAGCGAACAAGUACCGUGAGGGAAAGAUGAAAAGAACUUUGAAAAGAGAGUUAAACAGUACGUGAAAUUGUCAAAAGGGAAGCGUUUGACACCAGUGUUGUUUUUUCCGAAAAUCAAUUACGAAUGUUUUGUUUUUGAGGAGUUAUGACUUCAUCGGCUUGCUCCUUUCUUUACGAAACUUUCUUAAUGCACUUUUCGGUUAACAAGUCAACAUCAAUUUCUUUUGUUGUAAAAGGGUAUGAGGAAGGUGGCUUUCUUUUCGGAGAAAGUGUUUAUAGCCUUGUGCCUCUACAAUCGGAGAGAUUGAGGUCUGCAGCGUAGAUCCUUCGGGGUUAGAUACGUUUGUGCUAAGUUAUAGCUUUUCAUAGACAACUUGUUGACUAUGUUUAGUCUUGUAGCUUACUCGCUGACGCUAUUUUACCUACGCUUAGGAUGUUGACUGAUAUGUAGUCGUA
rnacentral:rRNA from 1 species